GAUGAAGAAACGCAGCGAAAUGCGAUAAGUAAUGUGAAUUGCAGAAUUCAGUGAAUCAUCGAGUCUUUGAACGCACAUUGCGCCCCCUGGUAUUCCGGGGGGCAUGCCUGUCCGAGCGUCAUUGCUGCCCUCAAGCACGGCUUGUGUGUUGGGCCUCCGUCCUCCUCCCGGGGGACGGGCCCGAAAGGCAGCGGCGGCACCGCGUCCGGUCCUCGAGCGUAUGGGGCUUCGUCACCCGCUCUUGUAGGCCCGGCCGGCGCUUGCCGACACAUCAAUCUUUUUUCCAGGUUGACCUCGGAUCAGGUAGGGAUACCCGCUGAACUUAAGCAUAUCAAUAAGCGGAGGA
rnacentral:misc_RNA from 1 species